GGUAAGGGAAAAUGCCGUACUGAAUAGAUCAUGUGUGGGUGAAAGGGCACAGUGAAUACUACGGGCAGUCUCUGUCCCGCCUCCUCCCCUAUUAGCCAAUAAGUGAGUGUGUACCGCCCCCUCCCUCACAGCAGUAACUUUGUCAGUAAGGGAGAGACGCUGUACUGAAACAAUCAGGUUUUGUUGAAAGGACAUACGGGUUACUACUGGCUGUUUCUGCCCUUUCCCCCUCUCAACCAAUCAGUAGGUGUGUCCCGCCCCCACCUGCACAGUUACAGGCGGCACAACACGUCUGUCAUUGGGAAGUUGGAGCGGCUCAGUAAGGGUUGCACAGACGCUAUCAGGUUUGGUUGGCGUAGAACACUAGCUGCUACUGGCUGUCUGUGUCCCGCCUCCUCCGUUCUUGCCAAUAAGAGUGUGUCCCGCCCCCUCCUGUAUAGCUAUAGGCUGUACGGGGGAAACCACUGGAGAGCUGGAGCGGGUCAGUAAGGGACAGAGGUUGCCUUGUGUGGUGGGACACUGGGUGCUACUGUUCCGUUACAGGCUGUGAAAUGAAUUCGUGUGCCCCUCCCUCCCACAAGGAGCCAAUGGGAAUGUGGGAGGAAGCGAGUGACCCAGUGAUGGGGAAGAAGGAUAAAAAUGAGGAGCGGAAGGAGAGAAUCCUGAAUCUCACACUGGAGAUUAUCUAUCUGCUGACUGGAGAGGGCUACGUCAUCCCUAAGAAGAAGAGCCCAACUGUGGGUUUGGGGGCCCUGCAUGCCCCUGGCUCCGUCAUACAGAAGGAAAAUGACAAGAAGAUCCUGGAACUCAUCUCCAACAUCAUCCAGCUGCUGACUGGAGAGGUUGCCUUAAGGUGUGAGGAUGUUUCCAUCUAAUUUUGCAGACAUGGGAGUAUAUAAAAGGAAACAAUCCCCUUUACAAGGAAGGAAUAAAGGAGGAGGAGCCCCAGCAGCCCCGCCCACUGGAUUGCAAAUAUGAAGGUCAGAAAACCACUGCAACAAAUCUGGAGGCAACGCCAUCUUGUAAUAAUGACCCAAGCAGGACUGCCGCUGUAGGAACAGGAUUUGUUGGAAACGGAAAUUUUACAAAUGCUGAAAUUUCUCCAGCGGAACAGCUCCCACCAGCCAAUGGGAUUAAAGAGGAGGCGGCUUCAUGUGAAGGGGGAAACCAAUCAGAUUGCAGCAUUAAUCCCCUUACAGAACAGAUACAGGGAACAGACACACCUACUCCUAUCAUGGGGUGCAGCCUGAAUAACAGCUCGGCAGAGGAUUAUAGAACAAGUGUUGUUAAAGAGGAUCCAACUUCAUGUAAAGGGGGAAACUAUAGAGACUGUGCCAUUAAUCCCCUUACAGAACAGAUACAGGGAACGGAUACACCUACUCCUAUCAUGGGGUGCAAUAGCAGCCUGAAAACUAAUUAUAUAUCAAAUGGGAUUAAAGGGGAAGUUACUUCACAUAAAGAGGGAAACCAAUCAGAUUACAGCUUUAAUCCACUUACAGAACCAAUACAAGGCAGAGAUGCCUGUGCUCCUAUCAUGGGGUACAGCCUGAAUAACAGCUUGGCAGCUCAUUAUAUACCCGUAGUUGUAAAGGAGGAGCCGGCGUCAUGUGAAAGAGACAAUCACUCAGAGUGGGGCAUUAGUAAUUUUAUUGAACAGAUACAAGGAGCAGAUGCACCCAAUCCUAUUGGAGCAUGGAACAUAAAUAGCAGUUUAAAUGGCGAAGUUCAGGCUAAACCCGCACGCACUUCUCAAACGAGGUCACGGAAGUUGUCGUAUAACUGCUACGAGUGCCACAAAUCUUUCCCUAGAAAGAACGAUCUCCUUGCCCAUCAGAGGAACCACGCGGGGAGGAAACCAUUUACCUGCGCUGAGUGUGGCCGAGGGUUUUCCUAUAGCUCCGCCCUCAGCGUUCACCGCAGACGCCACACGGGAGAGAAACCGUUCGGCUGUUCCGACUGCGGGAAAUCCUUCACCCAGAGCUCGCAGCUGACUUUGCAUCGGAGAAUCCACACGGGGGAGAGACCCUACUCCUGCUCCGAAUGUGGCAAGCGUUUCACCCACCGCACCCCGCUGAACGUGCACCAGAAAAUCCACACAGGGGAGAAACCGUAUUGUUGCUCUGAAUGUGGCAAGCGCUUCUCCGACCGCUCCAACCUUGUUGUGCACCAGAGGAGCCACUCCAGGGAAAAGCCAUUUUCCUGUGCCGACUGCGGCAAAGCUUUCACCCGACGCUCCAAUCUUAAGGAUCACCAGAGACUUCACACCGGGGAGAAACCCUAUUCCUGUCCCGAAUGCAGGAUUUGUUUUGCACAAAGCUCACAGCUUGCGUUACACCGGAGAAUUCACCAGUAGCGCAUUCCCCAAGCACUACAGUGUCUCGGCAUAAGCACCCCAUUCACCUAUUUAUUAAUCUGUUACACCAGUAAAGCCCUCUGGAUAUGAACUUAAGUGAGCAGAAACCCCUGAGGUCCAACAUGGCAGUAUUCAUUGCUUAAAGGGGAAAUAAACCCAACCGUAAAGUUGU